AACAGAUCGCUGCUGCCCGUGGUCACGUGUGAACAGGCCGCCGUUGCAUCCUUCCGAUCAAGAUUUCGGCCGCCUCGGUGAUCCCCCGCCGCCGGAAUCGGCAUCAAUUUGGACCGCCAGAGCCUCCGGCGGCCAUGGACAGCAAGACAGGAAGCUACGAGCUUUGCACAAAGGACGUUGUUCGAGAGCUAAGAAGAUGAAGAAUUGCAAGAACAAGAGCUGAAAACUCUGACCAGUUAUUAUCUGAAUUUAAGGCAAGUAUAUUCCUUGAUCAUACUUUGUUCUAAUAACUUUUAUUUAUGCUUGCAUGCAUUAAAUUGAUGGGUACCAAUUAUCCUUAUUGAUUAUCCAUGUCCUUGAAUAGCCGGGUUUCUUUUAUAAAAUCUUUUGGGUAUUUUGCUUAGUUGCUGAAAAAUGGUUAUGGGAGGUUUACAACAAUGAUACUUGAGACAUGAUGCUUUACUCUAUACACUUUUGGAACGAUAUUGUGAAUUUGUUAACUUGAUUAAAAUCAACCAUGGAGCGACCACCCGGAAAAACAGCGCAACCACAAGGACUACAUGGCUCUGGUCUUGGCUGAUUAAUUAGAUUUCUCUAGCUUGUUAGUAGCUUACCGAAAGGCGCAAAAGGGGGGACUAGGUUCAAGAGAGGUACUCGCCCUGCCAAAGGGGUUGGUACGCCUACGGGGUACACUCGUUUUGGGGGAGGGUGCACUCGCCUAGCGGCUAAAACCUUAGCGGGCUACUACUGGUUAGGGAAUCUUUGUAAAGGCCUCGUAGCGACCCUAUGCAAUCACACCU